GUGACGAACUAAGGGUCUCCUGAAUCGUGAAGAGACGCUUUAGCUGA
rnacentral:snoRNA from 1 species